rnacentral:lncRNA from 1 species
CUACUUUGACCUAUGAUAUUGAUGUAAGAUGAUUUUACUUUCUUAUUGCUUAGAUAUUGACUCUAUUUAGAUUGGUCCAAGUGUACUUUGGUAGUUUGGAUUAUAUAUUAUGCUGAAAACGUCCAUUGUCUCUUUCAACUUGUCAUCUCAGUACAAAUCUGUGAUAAAGCAAGUCAAAGAAGAAGAACAAAAAGAUGUGCAAUUCCGAUGGUAAUUGCAGGCCUUUGGGAUUCUUACUGGGUCUUCCCUUUGCCUUUCUCUGCCUCGUUAUCUCAAUUGUUGGAAUAGUUAUCUGGAUUGUUGGGUAAAUUACUCCUUCCCCCUUUUACUUCACUUAUAUUAAUUUUGAUGCUGUGAUCUCUGAUUGGUAGAAAAAUUGAAACUUUGAUUAUGAUGAUGAAAAUAAUUGCAGAUUGUUGCUGACAAUCAUAUGCCCCUGCUGUUUGUGCGUGACGGUAAUAGUGGAGUUUGCAUUAGUGUUGAUCAAGGCUCCACUUCACGUCAUGGAAUGGUGCACUUCUAAGAUCCCUUGCUGACCCUACCUCUUUUCCUUUUCUAAAAUCUGUUUUUUUCUUCAUUGUUUAAUCUUUUCAUUUGGAUUUCGGAGUGGGGUUUUUCAGUUAUUCAUAUUUGUAUGGUCUUUCUUUUUGUUUAUAUGGAUCGAGACAAAAAUAAUAAUUCAUUGGUUAUGAGUUAUGAAGUUGUUCAAUUGAGUACGAAUAAACAUAGAUGUAUCAUGUAUAUGAAAUUCAAGUAUGAGAAGUGUUAGUUCAGUAAUGGAUUCUCGCUCCUAUUUUUUCUUUCUUAUAUUAUGAACUUUUGGGGACUGGUCCUGCUUCUUGUUGUAUAUAAUCAAAUGAAAGAAAACAAAAUAUUACUGUUUCUUAGACUUAUUCAGG